rnacentral:rRNA from 1 species
CGUGUAGGCGGUCAGGUAGGUCGGUUGUGAAAACUGGAGGCUCAACCUUCAGAGGUCGACCGAAACCCCCUGGCUAGAGUCCGGGAGAGGAGAGUGGAAUUCCUGGUGUAGCGGUGAAAUGCGCAGAUAUCAGGAAGAACACCCGUGGCGGAAGCGGCUCUCUGGAACGGUACUGACGCUGAGACGCGAAAGCGUGGGGAGCGAACA